rnacentral:lncRNA from 1 species
UUAUAAAUAAAUUAAACGUGAAUUAUUUGAGAUGAGGCUCGAUAAAAGCUCAACUUAUUUUAGUUCGUUUGCUAAACGAACCAAGUUUGAGAUUAUUAAUAUUUGGCUCGAGUUUAAAAUGAGUAAAGCUUAAGUUCGGAAGUUCGGCUCGAUUGUGAAAAAUUAAAAUGUGAAUCAAAUUUGAGAUCUUCAAAGCUCGGCUCCAUUUGAUUCGGUUCAUUUACACCUAUUUUUUCUCAAAGGAGGCCUGCCUAUGUUAAACAACAACUAAUAUUUAUAGACUUCUAUGUUCUUUGUUUUGAAGGUGGAUAGUGUUGUAUGUAUGGUUUGAACUUUCAUAGACUAACUACCAAUUCUAUAGUUCUUGGUCUCUAAUAUGAUAGUGAAGCAUUUUAGAGUAUUUUUUUUAUUUCACUCUUCAUCUUUACAAGUGAUUUACAUGACUAUUUAUACACAAAGAAUUAUUACUAAACAAAAUUAUAACUAAACAAGAAGCAAAUAAUCAAAUAAUAAUUAAAGAGAUAAUUAAGGGUUCUAAUCAAAUCAAAUUAUAUCCUUAGAAUCAGCAAAUAAGUCAGCACUCCCCCUGAAGUUGGUGCAUAAAUGUUGUACAUAUCCAACUUGCAAAUCAGAUUAUGGUACAUUUUAUUGUUGAGUCAUUUAGUAAACACAUCCGCAAGUUACCCAGUAAAAGUCACAUGAACUAAGUUCAAGACACCGUCCAUUAAUUUUUCUUUAAUGGAAUACCGAUUAAUCUCAAUGUGCUUCGUUCGCUUAUAUUGGACUAAAUUUUGUGCUAUACUGAUGGCAGCUUUAUUGUCACAAUACAAAGUUAUCUUGUCUCUCUCGGGCAACAUUAGCUCCUUUCAAUAACUUUUGCAACCAUGAAAGUGCACACACACUUUGGCUAUUGCUCUGUAUUCUGCUUUAGUACUUGACCGGAUAAUAACACUUUGUUUUUUGCUCCUCCGUGAUAAGGUUCAUUUCCACAACUGUGCACUAGCCAGAGGUGGAUCUCCUGGCAUCGAGAGAUCCUGUCUAAUCUGCAUCUCUAAAAGUUUCAAUUUGGAGGUGACCAUGUUUGGAAUAAAAAAGCCCUUUCCCUGACGCAGACUUUAGGUAUCUCAAGAUGCAAAGUGCAGCCUACAUAUGAGUCUUGCGAGGGUCAUGCAUGAAUUGGCUAAGCUAACAACAUAGGCUAUAUCCAAUCGAGUGUGAGAGAGAUAAAUCAACCAACCUACCAAUCUCUGGUAUCUUUCAAUAUUCAGGGACUCACCAGUUCUUGCUUGCAUCUUGUGAUUACUUUUAAUAGGAGAUUCUGCUGGUUUACACUUAACAUACCAACUUCUUCUAAAAGAUCCAGAAUGUACUUUUUUUGGGAGAUGAAGAUUUCUUUUUCUGAUUUAACCACUUCAAUAACUAGGAAAUAUUACAGCUUUUCUAGAUCUUUGAUUUCAAAUUCUUGAGUCAUUUCCUCUUUGUCAUCAUCUGUCACCACGAUAUUAUCAACAUACACAAUAAGAAAAGUGAUUUUACCCUUGUGAUGUUUAAUAAACAGAGUGUUAUCAGCAUUGCUCUGAUGGUAAUCAAAGGACAUCAUGGCUCUGCUAAACCUAUCAAACCAAGCUCUCGGAGAUUGUUUUAGCCCAUACAAAACCUUUUUUAACCUGCACCUUUUUUUUGUGUCUUCUCAUCAGUGAAUCCAAGAGGGAUCUCCAUGAACACUUCUUCUAAAUCUCUAUGGAGGAAAGCAUUCUUCAUAACAAACUGCUGUAAGUUCGAAUCCAAAUUGGCUGCACAAGAUAAUAGGACUCUGACCCGUUAGAAAUAGGGCGUUUAGUACAAUAUCUGACCCGUUUUCUUUGUACAAUAGGUUUAUUUAAAUCAUUCGAGCAUUCAAGAAUUAUGGGUAACUCACGAGAAGAAGAUUUUUGACUCUGAGUAGACUGCAUAAUGUCUUCUUUUGCCUUGUCUCUCCUCGAAUACCUCCUCAAAUCUGACUUGUCCAAAUGUCCAAUUCUUGCCCCUUGAUUGGACAUGUCCCCCUGUCUACUAGAACUCGAACUCUCUAGUUGAACCAUAUCAUUCAGAAUCACAGAAUUCGGGGUCACCUCUUUUUGCUUAUUAUUCUCUCCCGAAAGAGGUGAGUGGGUAGUACUGAAGUAGGGUUCAGUUUCUUGAAAGGUAAUAUCCAUACUAAUAAAGUAUUUUCUAGAUGGAGGGUGAUAACACCUAUAUCGCUUUAGUAUCGGAGAAUAACCAACAAACACAUAUUUAAGGGUCUUGGGGUCUAAUUUUCCCACCGUUCUAGAAUAGAUAAAGCAAACACACCCAAAUACUUUUAGUGGAACAAUGCAUAAAUUCUUCCCUUGUAGAACCUCCAAAGGACUCAUAAAGUCAAGGGUCUUAAGGGGUAUUCUAUUGAUAAGAUAAGCAGAUACAAGGAGUGUAUCUCCCCAAUAUGCUUUGGGUAGGUUCAUGGUGAACAUAAGAGAUCGAGCUACCUCCAAUAGAUGCCUCUUUUUCCUUUCAACAAUGCCAUUUUGAGCACUAGUAUAAGAACAACUUGUCUGGUGUACUGUCUCAUUAUUCUCUAAAUAAGCAAAAAACUUACUAUCCAUGUAUUCUUUUCCAUUGUCAGUUUUCAAAAUUUUAACCUUAGUAUCAAAUUGAGUAUAAAUCAUCUUGUGAAAGAAUGGAAAACAAGAAAAUACAUCACUUUUAGCUUUAAUCAAAUAGAUCCAAGUCAUUCAAGUGCAACAAUCAAUAAAGGUGAGAAACCAUCGAUUAUCAAAUAAGGAGAUAGUUUGAGUAGGCCCCUAAACAUCAGAAUGAAUAGUUGCAAAAGGAAUUUGGCUUUUAUUAUGACUCAAAGGAUAAAAGGUUCUAAUGUGCUUAGUAUACUCACAAGCAUCACAAAAUAAAGAACCAAACUGAGUUCUAGCAAACAAACUAGGAUAAAGUUUUUUUAAGACAAAAGAUUAUGGAUGUUCUAAUCACCUGUGCCACUGUAUUAUUUCCUGAUUGACAUCCUUAUUUUCUCCAAAAUAGGUUUGAGAUAUCGGAGAACCUGGAUCACCUUCCAACACAUAUAAUGAUACGAGCAAGGAAAUGGCACGAUGCUUCAAAGAUUUAAAAUGGGAAACUCCAAAUCAUGACAAAUCAAGCUACCAUCGUUUAAUUCAAGGUUUACGAGAUGACAACUAUAUUUGAGAAGCAUGGGAGAAUAAGGAAAUAAGCAACACACUCUUCAAUACAUGUAGACGCGCAACAUAAUUUCAAAUUGUGUAAUGCAUGUAUAACCAAAUUGCAUUUAGGCCAAUUUUGUUAUUUUGAUAUUUUAGUAUUUUUUAGGAUUUGUUUUAAAUUAAUUUGGCCUAUAUUAGAAGCCAAAUUCGUGCAGCCCAUUUAGGAACAAGAUUUCUCCAAGAUAAUUUAAGAAAAUGAUCUUUAAUGUAAUCCAAGUUUGACUAUUUGACUAGAUAUCCUUCCUAUAUUGUAAUUACACCUUCCUACAAUAGAAUUAGGGUUUGAAGGCUAUAAAAACACCCUUAAGGUAGCAGCCACAAGAGGCCAAUAAAUAAAAGAUGAUGGUAUGAACAAUAUUUUGGUUCUUCUCCAUUUUUAGCAAUUUAUCAAGGUUUAACCUUGUGGCAUUCUAAUAUGGAUCUCCUCCAUGCUUAGUUAACUUAUCAAGAAUUUCUUGUGGCUUUCUCUGUUAUAAGUUAUAGAAAGUAAAUAUGUUAAUACAAGAAGUAAAUAUUGAUAGAUGGGUCAGUUGCUUAAUCUUAGAGAUUGUAUAAUCAUAGUCUUGAUUUUUCUUCCUAUUUAGAUACCGUCUCUCAUGUAUAAAUAGGUUGUAAUCUCUAUUGUAAAAUACAACAACAAAUAUUAUCUUUAUACAUGGUAUCAGAAUCUUUCUCGUAGAGAUUUAAUUUUUUUUUUCUCUCUAUUCAAGUUUUUUAAAAAAAAAAAUUUGGAGACUUAGGGCUCUGUUCAUUUGGGUUACCCAUAAAGGGUAACAUUUGGAUCUCACCAUCGCUGGAGUUGCCACAUCGUUCCUUUGUCAGAUCUGAGAUUUGUUUGCCGUUCGGGUUUUGUUCAUCGGUACUGUUCACAGGGGUACUGUUCACGAGUACUGUUCAUCGGUACUGUUCACGCCGGUACUGUUCACGUCGGGUACUGUUUUCUGAUUCUGAGUUUCUUUUGUUGCUAUCGUUUUGGGUUGGUUGUCCUUAUGGAUGAAGUUAAAACCACCACUGUAACUGAUGUGAUUCCUAUGAUGACUAAAAUCACGAAACACAAAUUGAAUGGAUCUUCCGAUCAGGGAAUUUUGAUAUCUGCAGAUGAGUAUGCACAAUUCAUCCAAUACCAGGCGUCUCUAAAAUCUUCUAAUUCCUCCUCUAUCACUGCAAUUGCCGAGUCAGGUAACUCUGCUGCAUGUUUUGAGUCUUCAUCCUCCAAAUGGGUUAUUGAUUCUGGUGCUACCGAUCAUAUGUGAGGUAAUUCUACCCUUUUGUCUAAUCUUGAGUCUCAUACAUCGCCUUCUUAUGUUACUCUUGCUGAUGGCACUAAAUCUUCUGUCAUGGUUUCUGGUCAUGUCAACUUAACCCUUCUCUUUCUGUAUCCUCUGUAUUAUGUCUCCUUAAAUUCGAUUUAAUUGCUUUCCGUUAGUAAACUCACUCGUGCAUUGAAUUGUUGUGUCUCAUUCUUUCCUGAUUACUGUGUUUUUCAGGAUCUUUCGACGAAGCAGAUUAUUGGUAGAGGGAGUAAGUUAGAGGGACUUUACGUCUUGGAUCAGCAACUACCUCGAUCUCCUCGAUCUCUGGUAUGUUCCACGCGUUUAACACCUUUUGAUGUUCAUUGUCGUUUGGGGCAUCCUUCUCUCUCGGCUUUGAAGAAGUUAUAUCCACAGUUUUAUUCUUUGUCUAUUCUAGAUUGUGAGUCUUGUCAAUUUGCCAAAUUCGUUUACCUAUACUGUCUCGAGUCAAUAAACGGACUUCGUCCCCCUUUGAGUUAGUCCAUUCAGAUGUUUGGGGUCCUUGUCCUAUUGUGUCUAAGUUUGGCUUUAAGUAUUUUGUUACUUUUGUUGAUGAUUUCUCUUGUACUACUUGGUUAGUUUUUCAUGAAGAGUCGUUCAGAAUUAUUUUCUAUUUUUUGUGCAUUUUAUGUUGAAAUCCAAACCCAAUUCAAUACUUCCAUCCGUAUAUUGCAAAGUGAUAAUGCUAAAUAGUAUCUCUCUGGGGAAUUUCAAUCUUAUUUGUUAUAAAAAGGGAUUCUUCAUCAGUCCUCUUGUGUUGCCACUCCUUCACAAAAUUGAGUUGCUGAAAGAAAAAAUCGACAUCUUGAAGUAGCCAGAGCCCUCUUAUUCCAAAUGAAGGUACCUAAAUGUUUUUGGGUUGAUGCUGCAUCCACUGCUUGUUUUUUGAUCAAUCGCAUACCUUCCUCCAUCCUUCAUGGUGAUAUCCCUUAUAACAUUUUAUUUCCUACUAAAUCUUUGUUUUGUACUUGUUUUGUUCGUGAUGUUCGUCCACAGGUUACUAAAUUGGAUCCCAAAUCACUCAAAUGUGUCUUCCUUGGCUACUCUCGACGUUAGAAAGGGUAUCGUUGUUUUUCUCCUGAUCUGAAUCGGUAUCUUGUGUCUGCGGAUAUAACAUUCUUUGAGUCCACUCCGUUUUUUCCGCCAUCAUCUGUUUAUAACAACCAUGAGGAGGAAGAUGACCUCUUGUUAUACAUUGUUCGCUCUGUCUCCUCAGACUACUCCUACACCUUUCGCUCAUGUGCCAGGUCGCCCUCCCAUCUUUCAUGUGUAUUCCAGACGCUUAGAGGACUCUGACUCUGUUCCGCUACCCGCUUCUUCGUCGAUCGAUCCUGCUCCCACUGAUCCUUCACUACCUGAUUUGGAUUUGCCCACUGCUCAUCGCAAAGGUAAAUGUACUUGCACUUAUCCUAUUUCAUCUUGUGUCUCUUAUGAUCAAUUAUCCUCCUCUUCUUGUUGUUUUGCCACUGCUUUAGAUUCUAUUUCAAUUCCCAAAACUGUUAUUGAGGCUUUGUCCCAUCCUGGUUGGCGUGCUGCAAUGGAAGUGGAAAUGAUGGCCCUUGACACUAAUGGUACUUGGGAGUUGAUGUCCUUGUCCCCAGGAAAGAGGGCUAUUGGGUGCAAAUGGGUGUUUGCAGUGAAAGUAAACCCUGAUGGAUCUAUUGCUCGCCUCAAGGCCCGUUUAGUGGCCAAAGGUUAUGCACAAACUUAUGGAGUUGACUAUUCUGAUACAUUCUCCCCAGUUGCCAAGCUCGCAUCUAUCCGAUUGUUUAUUUCCUUGGCGGCUACUCACGAUUGGCCUUUGCAUCAACUGGAUAUUAAAAAUGCUUUUCUUCAUGGUGAUCUUUAGGAGGAGGUUUAUAUUGAGCAACCACCUGGUUUUGUUGCUCAGGGGGAGUUAGGUAAGGUUUGUAGACUUCGAAAAUCCCUUUAUGGGUUGAAAUAGAGUCCUCGGGCAUGGUUUGGCAGGUUUAGUGAGGUGGUCCAACAGUUUAGAAUUAAGAUGAGUAAGUGUGAUCACUCAGUGAUUUAUAGAAGUUCUGAUAGUGGAGUAAUUCUGCUUGUAGUAUAUGUGGAUGAUAUCGUUAUUACAGAAAGUGACAUUACUGGCAUCACAUCCCUAAAAGAAUUUCUUAAAACACAAUUUCGUACAAAGGAUUUGGGUUCCUUGAAAUAUUUAUUGGGAAUUGAAGUUAUGCGGUGUAAGAAAGGCAUCUUCUUAUCUCAAAGAAAAUAUGUUCUUGAUUUGUUGGCAGAAACAGGGAAAUUGGGUGUUAAGCCUUGUAGUGCCCCAAUGACCCCCAACCUUCAACUUACUACAGAAGACAGUGAGCCAUUUGCAGAUCUUGGAAGGUAUAGAAGAUUAGUUGGCAAGCUGAAUUAUUUGAUGGUGACUCGUCUUGAUAUUGCAUAUUCAGUGAGUGUGGUAAGUCAGUUUAUGUCCUCUCCUACUAUUGCCCAGUGGGAUGCUCUGGGACAGAUUCUUUGUUACCUUAAAGGGGCCUCAGGGCGAGGCCUAUUCUAUGGUAACCACGGGCACUCAAAUAUUGAAUGCUUUUCUGAUGCUGAUUGGGCAGACUCGAAAGUUGAUAGGAGGUCAACUACCGGGUAUUGUGUUUUUGUGGGAGGUAACUUGGUCUCGUGGAAAAGUAAAAAGCAAAAUGUGGUCUCCCGUUCUAGUGUCGAAUCUGAAUAUCGAGCCAUGGCACAAGCCGUUUGUGAAAUCUUGUGGGUACGUCAACUGUUGGAAGACGUUGGGUUCAUAAAUUCGGUGCCUGCUAAGUUGUGGUGUGUUAAUCAAACAGCUAUCCACAUUGCCUCCAAUCCAGUAUUUCACCGGAGGACUAAACACAUCGAGAUUGAUUGUCAUUUUGUUCGUGAAAAGGUCCAACAAAAAAUAAUAUCAACAGGACAUAUCCGAACUGGAGAACAAUUAGGAGAUAUUUUCAUUAAAGCUCUAAAUGGGACUCGAGUUGAUUAUAUAUGUAACAAGUUGGACAUGAUUAAAAUUUAUGAUCCAACUUGGGGGGAGUGUUAUAAGUUAUAGAAAGUAAAUAUGUUAAUAUAGGAAGUAAAUAUUGAUAGAUGGGUCAGUUGCUUAAUUUUAGAGAUUGUAUAAUCAUAGGGUUGAUUUUCCUUUCUAUUUAGAUACCAUCUCUCAUGUAUAAAUAGCUUGUAAUCUCUAUUGUGAAAUACAACAACAAAUAUUAUCUUUCUACAUUCUCGAAGCUGUAAUCGCUUAAUUAUCUAUGUUUUUAAUCACAUUAGUUAGUUAGGGGUGAGGUAGAGCAACUUUUGCUUGAUUUAUGUAUAUUUCUAAUCACAUUGGUUAGUUAGGGGUGUGGUAGAGCACCCUUCGCUCUAUUAUCUAUAUUUCUAAUCACAUUUGUUGGUUAGGGGUGGAGUAGAGCAACCUUCUAGAAAAUAUCUUUGUCUUGUUCUUUGUCAAGAUGUGUGAUGGGGUUUUUGAUCACAUAUUGGUCCUGGGUUCCGCAUUAGUUGGUAUCAGAGCACGGUGAUAGAUAAAUUCCUAUUUAUCUAUAUUUAUUUGUUUCAUAAGUUUUUUUAUUUUUUUUCUAAAAAAUUUUUUUCUUUGUUCUUUUCUUUUCCUUUUUGGGUUUAUCAAAUUUUUUUCUAAGAAAUCCCGCAUCAUAUAAGCUAUUAUGCAGGCUACUAUUGUCAAUCAUCUUUCCUCUGAGAAGAUCCUGAAUAACACAAUGAUCAGAAAAGAAUUUAAUUUUACAGAUAAGAGCAUUGGUGAUAGAACUGACAGAAUAAAGGUUGACAGGAAAACGGGAAAUAUGAAGGACAGAUGGUAAUUUAAUAUUGGGUGUACAAAUAACAGAACUUGUUCCGGAUAUGAGAGUAAAAGAGUAAUAACCAAUUCUAACACUAUCUUUGGUUAAAAAAGGAAAAUAAUUGAGAAAACCUUUGGAAGAGUCUGUCAUAUGUCUAUUUGCACCAGAACCAAUAAUUCAUGGAACAAUAUCAAGAGAGGAAGCAUUACAUGACUUUACAAAGUUAGAUGUGGUACCAGAGAAGGAAUAAGUGUCAAUAUGAGACAAGAGGCUCUUGAGACUCUGAAUUUCAAUAGGGGAAAGGAACUCAGCCGCUGUUGUCUCCUUAAAGGGCUCCUUCACAGUUUCUGCCAAAUUAGUUUGAGUUCUCGAGGUAUUAUAUUUCUCCCCACGGCCUCUAGUCGGACGACCAUGUAACUUUCAGUAAGUCUCCUUGGUAUAUCUCGGUUUUUCACAAUAGUACAAUGCAGGUGAUCUUUCUCAGAAUUAGGAGGCUGUAGUGUGCUCAAACUAGUAGCCAAUCCAGCCUUUUCAAUUGGUGCAGUAUAGAGCAUAACAUGUUGAUGACUUUUCUCUUGGUGAACAUGGGCAUGGGCCUCCUCCAGAGAAGAAAAAUGAUUUUUUUCUCAACACUUGGAUCCGAAUUGGAUCAUAUUCGUUAUUCAACCCUGCAAUAAAAUUGUUAAAUUUGGGUCAGGCCUAACUCACCUCCAAGAGUUAGCUCAAGGGGGAGGAGUGCCUAUGGCCCAUAUAAGAGGCACAUUACCCAUUUCCCCAACCGAUGUGGAAUUCAACACACCCCCUCACGCCUAGAAUUUCACUAGUGCGUGACAUAUUUAUGGGAGGCCCAACAUCGGAUGGAGAGGCUCUGAUACCAUGUUAAAUUUAGGCUAGGCCUAACUCACUCCCAAAAGCUAGCUCAAGGGGGAGGAGUGUCUAUAGCCCAUAUAAGGACACAUUACCCCUUUCCACAGUUGAUGUGGGAUUCAACAAAAAUCAUAGACCCGCUCCUUUUCAAUUAUUCUCCGAAAUUUGACUGCAUCUCCAGUACAGUUUGCCUGGAAGUCCUGAUAAUAAUCAAAUUUCUGCCAUAAGCCAUAUAACUCAGAAUGAAAUUGUUGAGAUAGUCAUUUCUCCUUGCUUAGUACUAUGGAUCUUAUUCCGAAUAUCACAAAUUUAGACAUCAUUCCCAAUCUUGGAAUAAGUUAAGGACAAAACUUUCAAUAUCUUUGCAGCAGUAUCAAUUAACAAAUAGAAUUUAAAGAUAUGAGGUUGCAUAAAGUAAUUAUGUCAUAACAAGAUAAUUAUCCGAGUCUCACUGAGGAAAAUCUGGAUCACUCUCAUCCAGUUGCUUCUUAUUACCAGUGACAUAGCCCUGCAGUCUUUUAGUUUUGAUAAACAGCAAACAAGAUCUUGACCAAGCAAGAUAAUUGGUUCUAUUAAGUUUUACGGGACUAAUUUGCAAGAAAGGAUUAUCACAGUUAGGAAUCAAGACUAUUUUACCUUCUGUCAUGGUAAAAAUAAAUGAACCAUGAAAGAAUAGGAGGUACCCAAGGUUGUACACAUAAGAUAGCCCAACCGAAUCACCAAAAGACCAGGUAGCAGCACAAGAAGGCCGGAAAGACAGUCAGAAUUGGCGCUGGAGUUAUCGGAGUAGCAAAGCAACGUCGAAUGAUGUCUCACAUGCCGGAAAGGGAGGGCGCGUGAGCCUCACGCGUGGGAUUUUUUGGCGUCGGAGCUGGGCAGUUGGGCCUGCGAUGGUUCGACGAUUCUCCUGGUGCCGGCAGUGAGAGGUGGAAAGGUUCUUAGAUAGGGUAGUGCCGAAAAGGUAGAUCUAGAGUUUUGAAACCUUAAAGAGAAAAAAUUGAAUUUAAAUCCUAAAAUCAGGAAAAAAACUCUGAUACCAUGAAGAAUUUUAGAGAAUUUUAGAGUAUUCUUGUAUUUCACUCUUGAUCUUUACAAGUGAUUUACAUAACUAUUUAU